rnacentral:misc_RNA from 1 species
CCGAGUUAGGGUCCCCUGGGCCCGACCUCCAACCCUUUGUCUACCUUACCUCUUGUUGCUUCGGCGGGCCCGUCUUUAACCAGACCGCCGGAGGGUGUCACACACCCUCUGGCCCGCGCCCGCCGGUGGCCUACAAACUAAAACUCUUGUUAAAAUCGUGUCGUCUGAAGUAAUCAAACAAAUAAAAUAAAAACUUUCAACAACGGAUCUCUUGGUUCUGGCAUCGAUGAAGAACGCAGCGAAAUGCGAUAAGUAAUGCGAAUUGCAGAAUCCGUGAGUCAUCGAAUCUUUGAACGCACAUUGCGCCCUUUGGUAUUCCGAAGGGCAUGCCUGUUCGAGCGUCAUUAUCACCCCUCAAGCUACGGCUUGGUGUUGGGCUCCAGGUGGUUUUACCCAAACUGCCGGCCUCAAAGAUAGUGACGGCGUCCCAGAGGGAACCGGUACGAGGAGCUUUUAACCGAGCAUGUACGCGGGACGACUCUGCGGGCGACGGUCUUUAUACAUAAACUUAUUUACAAGU